ACCGUUUCAGUCUGAGGUGUGCCGUUUCCCUCUUCGUUCUACCUUCUUGCUUCAUUUCUUCUUUCUUUCUCUCGUUUUGGCUUUUUCGUUAGGGCAUAGCAUCUUCUCCACGCUGUUGCUUAUUCAAGUGGGUUUGCUUACUUCUUGAUUUGAUGGACAUACACGGUAAGCAUUUUUGAUGGCUAGAACAGUCCAUUCACCAAGCUUCCUCAUCUUUACAAUGUGCAUAUGAUGGAGCAGUAUAAGGAAGCACCAUUUGCUGUCAGGGAAAACAUUUUGACUUGAGGUUGAAGUGGCAGCAUGAACAAUUGUUGCUGAAUUCAAGAUUUCAGGAUGAUGGAAAGCACUUGGAAGACCAUUGUGAUCGUACCUUGCUAGAAAUUCAAGUGGUGGUUGGUGGUGGGCCACGAAAGAGUCUACUGAGAAGUCAGUGGCGCUGAAAUUCUCUAAGUUACUUGAAUUUAGGUUUGGAAGCUGCUUCAACAUGUGUAUGUUCAUAUCCAUCUCUAUGAAAGGCUGAGAAGGUCUUAGCCUCUGUAAAUAUUCUUUAAACUCGGCCAUGAAGAAUAUUUUCAGGUAGAGUGCUUCUUAGAGACUCUUAAUGGAAGAGGCAGGAAUUGAGAGUAACAUUUUUAAGCUCAUCUAUUCUUUUGGUGGCUGCUCAUUUACGAAGGUUAAAAAGUUUCAGGAAAUGUUUGAUCAGCAGCGGAUUAGGAGCAGAAUCUUUAUUUAUUAGUUUUUCUGCACAUGAUUUGUCACAAUUGAUCAUCUCCUUCUUUUCUAACAUAAUUGUCCUGUUUCUAUGAACCAUAUUUCAUUAUUUGCCUUAGUACGAAUGUAUAAUUCACCUCUUGCAGAAAGAAUAAUAUCAAGAACUAGUACGUGUAGCUUGCUGAGAUGGGGGAAAUUUUUUCCUUGAAAAGCAUGACUAGAGUUAAAAUUCUUAUAAAUAAUAUGCUCGCAAAGUACCAACCC